UUUGUACUCCCUCCUUCCGGAAUACUUGUGGUGGAAUGAAUGUAUCUAGACGUAUUUUAGUUGUUGAUACAUCCAUUUUUAUCCAUUUUUCCAACAAGUAUUUUCGGACGGAGGAAGUAUAUC
rfam:Triticum urartu cultivar G1812 contig351308, whole genome shotgun sequence.